rnacentral:rRNA from 1 species
CUUUACUCGGGGACAGCCUUUCGAAAGAAAGAUUAAUACCCGAUAGCAUAAUGAUUCCGCAUGGUUUCAUUAUUAAAGGAUUCCGGUAAAGGAUGGGGAUGCGUUCCAUUAGGUUGUUGGUGGGGUAACGGCCCACCAAGCCUUCGAUGGAUAGGGGUUCUGAGAGGAAGGUCCCCCACAUUGGAACUGAGACACGGUCCAAACUCCUACGGGAGGCAGCAUG